rnacentral:rRNA from 1 species
AUUGAACGCUGGCGGCAUGCCUUACACAUGCAAGUCGAACGGCAGCACGGGUGCUUGCACCUGGUGGCGAGUGGCGAACGGGUGAGUAAUACAUCGGAACGUACCUUAUCGUGGGGGAUAACGCAGCGAAAGCUGUGCUAAUACCGCAUACGCCCUGAGGGGGAAAGCGGGGGAUCGAAAGACCUCGCGCGAUUAGAGCGGCCGAUGCCUGAUUAGCUUGUUGGCGGGGUAAAAGCCCACCAAGGCGACGAUCAGUAGCUGGUCUGAGAGGACGAUCAGCCACACUGGGGCUGGGACACGGCCCAGACUCCUACGGGAGGCAGCAGUGGGGAAUUUUGGACAAGGGGGGCAACCCUGAUCCAGCAAUGCCGCGUGAGUGAAGAAGGCCUUCGGGUUGUAAAGCUCUUUUGUCAGGGAAGAAACACCGGCUCUAACACAGUCCGGGAAUGACGGUACCUGAAGAACAAGCACCGGCUAACUACGUGCCAGCCGCCGCAGUAA